UAGUUCUGGUUUCUCUUAAUUCAUGUAUAAAUCUUUCACUUUUUAUUAAAGAUUUCCAUGGAGAGGAACAUCAAUGAGUUUGAUAUAUUUUUAUGAGCUUUGCUCUGUCAAAGCU